rnacentral:misc_RNA from 1 species
UUGAUUGUUUGUGUCCACUCAGAGAUACGCUGUGAUACAGAGGGUUCGGGCUCCCCCGGCGGCCGGCCGCCCCCCCGGGAGGGGACGGCAGGGCCCGCCGAGGCAACUACACGGUUCGUUCGAGAUGGUUUAGAGCGGCCUCGCGGCCCCCUUUAAUGAUCCCUCCGCUGGUUCACCAACGGAGA